UCAGCCAUUGUGACAACAUUAUCACGAACCCGGAUUCUUGCAGGAACACCAGUGAUGAAAGCAACUAGCUUCUUUGAACUUUUGACACGAACACCAAUGUGCCAGCUCUUGAAAUAACCCGGUGGACGCAGAGCCCAGCGGAGAAACUCCUUUGAAUAGUUAAAUCUGAACAUAUUCUCAUCAUCCUCAACAUAGUUGUUAGUGAGUAGAAUAUAAAUCUCAGCACACAUCUCCUCAGAGUCAAUGUCGCAAGUGACCCAUUCGUACAGGUUCGGAAGAUUGUAGGGUUCUUGUUUGACUUCAGAUAAGAGUUUCGGGGGUUCAAUAGGUCCUUCAGGCAAACUGGUGUCUCCUAUCUCCUUGAAUUGCCCAACAGGUUGUGUUUCCCAAAAUUUGUGUCUAUGUCCAAGAGCAAGUGACUCUUGGACCUUUUGAGCAAGUAGGUCAAGUGAAAUAUCACUCCCAGAGGGUGGACUUUCAUCAGGCUCAAGGUUUUCAGUUUCUUCAGGGGCACCCGAAUAUCCAUUGCUAUCAGCCAUUUCGAAAAAAUCUCAGAGGUCAGUCUGCAAGACUGAAAUACCGCAAUCUUAUUACGACCCAAUCGUAUGCUUUGAAAGGCAAUAAGCAAGAGAAAAUAAUGUUUGAAGUUUUUUAUGUUACAGUAUAUCAAAUACCUAACUCCAUUGAGUUUUAAAAAACAGUAUUUGGCACAGACUAAAUUAGCCAAUACAACAUCAAUAUCAAAAUACAGAAAGUAGUAUCAUACUUGGUUUUAUAAAGAACCAAGUACGAUAUAGAAAAGGCAGCAAUUUCAAUUAUCAGAACGAAAUCAAGAUUCAUGACAACAAAAGGGGAUAUAAAUUUGAGUCAACCAAUAAAAGGGACUCGCAAAAAUGUUGGAAACAAAAACCAAUGAAACAGGUACAUUAUGUUCAUAUUCAAGUACUAUAAAUCAACAUCAAAUCUACAAUAUACAUCAAAUUAAGCCCCAUGAGCAAUAGAUCGCUUGAGCCUAAACUACAUCAUGAUGUAAGACUUUCAUUUUGUUAAAACCUAGCAACCAACAAUACUGUCCAAUCACUAAAACUGUAUCAUAUAUCCAUGAACAGCAACAAGAACAAGCAAAAACCAAAACGAAUUUGCCUCAGAGUCAUACAAUUGCAUACAGCAGUGAAAGAACCGAUUAAAAUCACAAACCCAAAAACCACAAAUAUCUAGAGACAGAAAAAGUUAAAUCCUUUUUACUUUCCUUCUCCUUUUACAUACUUUCCCAGCAUCCAAACAUACAAACACGUUCCAAAAAACAAAAAAUUCCUAAAAACUCGGAAACAGCAAACAUACAUUUCCAAGAUCUACACUGUCAAACAAUUAUCAGAACAGCUAAAGAAACACCAAAACUCCACUUAAUCGUGUUUACUGAUGUAUUUCCUUAGUGAGUCUUGCAAAGUUUUGAUUUUUCGUUGUUUGAAAACAGGGGGAAAAAAGCAUCAAACAUAAGAUCAGAACUCAUAUUUUUAUCUUCUUUUAUUCAAUUUGCUUUCAAACCCAUUAAGCGAUAUGCUUAUAUUACCUCGCGAUUUAAUGCGGAGAAAACUGAAGCAAUGAUCCAAGCUUUCGCAAAGAGAGAGAGAGAGAGAGAGAGAGGGUGUAAGCAGAGUUGGGCUUUGGAGAGACCGAAGAAGAGAAUAAAGUUACAACAAAGACUGGAAAUCCGAAGUCCCAAUGGGUUUUGUAAUUUUAAUUGUGUAGGAAGGGUAUAAUUGGAAAUUUUGAUAAUAACACACACUCAUAUGGGUUAAAAAUUGAUAAUUAGCUUGUUUUGAAACAAUAAUACAAAAGAUCACAAAAGGCCAUUAAAUGAAGAUGUUGCUCUGCACAUUUUUUUUCAAGAAACAGCUCACGGUCUUCCUUGAGAAGACAGAUAUAUGGAAUGAUUAGAGACAACUUGGAAAAAUAAAAUUCCUCAUGCACAUUGCCUGGAUUGUGUAUCCUGGUAACUGAUGUGCCUUUGUCCCAUUAUUGAUGAUUAGAAUUUAAUUUUGUGUUGCUGGAGGAGCAGUUUCCAAAUUGUUUCAAUUGUACGCGUGCAUGCAUGCCUUUCUUCUCAGGUGGGAAUAUAAUGCAUUGAUGUUCCUCCCUGUAUUCAUAGUUCAUCCAUUAUAAUGCACGCACAUCAGAACUCAAGCCAAUCUGUAGCUUCUUAGCAAGACUCUCAUUGUUCACCAGCAAAGCAACGUGAAAAGUUUAAAUAGCCACUUGGAAAACAAGAAUUGCUUUUUAACAUUACAAUCAUCACUGAAUCCUAACAAUAACUAACAAGUGCAACAUUUGAAACGUGCCUAAGAAUUUCAGUCUGAUAAAGUUCACAAAUUUUGUUUGAAAAUUUAGCACAAUAAUAUCUAACAUCUAAACUUGGCUUUGCUGCAAUUUAACAUACUCAUACAACCAAAACUAUAAGCAAACUUCGUCUAGAGUGCUUCUGUCAGUCUCAUACCUCAAAUGAGAUUUUCAGCACUCAAAACUACAGGAGUACAAGACCAAGUUCUGAAGGGAGUACCGCCUGUCUUAUGCGAUAGUUGUAAAGAUAAUAGUGCAAUUUUCCAUCACCUGGUCCAAAUUUCAGUUCCUUCAAGAAAGAUUCAUUUUGCAUAACAUCCAAUGCAUUGAAAACAUCAAAGUCCUUCUGCUUUGCCACGAUAAGAGCAUCAUUCAUCAAUUGAAGCAAAGGAGUCUUUGUGGAAACAUUAUAAUAUGAGUAGGCUGCCUUCAAAGUGGAAUAGUUUGGGUUGCCAAGAAUUGAAGAGGGAAGGGUAUAAAAGCUGCAGAAAUCAGUGAUCUCAUGGGUUUCAGGACUUGCAACCAGAAAACUAUCCACGACAUUCUCCUUUGGAAGAAGCCAAUGCUCCACAUCAUUUUCAUCAAAGUCUGGUGCAAUAGCAAACUGGCUCAAGUACUCCCUAAGAAGCCGUGUAACAGCAGGAACAUCAUGAGGCUCCAUCUUUCUGAACCCUGGAGUGACUGUCGACUCCGGUAACUUGUAAAGUUUAAUCGUUCGACUCAUUGUCAUUCUUGCACCCAGUCUAGAAAACCCAACAUCAAUCAGCUUCUUUGGAUUCAAAGACCUAUGCCAAUACUGGCAAGUUGAUACAGGAGUUGGAAGGACCACUCCAGCAGUAUAAGCUGCUUGCCAGAUAUUCUCCAAAUGAACCCUCCUGGUCACUUCUUUGAUCAUGACAGGAGCUAGUCUUUUCGAUCUCAGCUUUUUAUGAACACACAGGAAAUUUACCUCAGCCAUUGUGACAACAUUAUCACGAACCCGGAUUCUUGCAGGAACACCAGUGAUGAAAGCAACUAGCUUCUUUGAACUUUUGACACGAACACCAAUGUGCCAGCUCUUGAAAUAACCCGGUGGACGCAGAGCCCAGCGGAGAAACUCCUUUGAAUAGUUAAAUCUGAACAUAUUCUCAUCAUCCUCAACAUAAUUGUUAGUGAGAAGAUUAUAAACCUCAGCACACAUCUCCUCAGAGUCAAUGUUGCAAGUGACCCAUUCGUACAGGUUCGGAAGAUUGUAGGGUUCUUGUUUGACUUCAGAUAAGAGUUUUGGGGGUUCAAUAGGUCCUUCGGGCAAACUGGUGUCUCCUAUCUCCUUGAAUUGCCCAACAGGUUGUGUUUCCCAAAAUUUGUGUCUAUUUCCAAGAGCAAGUGACUCUUGAACCUUUUGAGCAAGUAGAUCAAGUGAAACGUCACUCUCAGAGGGUGCAUUUUCAUUGGGCAUGAGAUUUUGAGUUUCUUCAGGUACGCCGGUAGAUCCAU
rnacentral:lncRNA from 1 species